GGACUGAGGGCGCGAGCAGAGCGGACACUCCAGACAGUGGCUUUACUACUGAGAUGAUAAGUAACUUGAGGUAAAGCUUUUAAAUUAAUUAUAUAUAUGUACCCAGGAUUACAUAUUGUUUGCAUGAGAAUAAUACAAUUAAUUUUGGUUUGUGUUGGUCCAAGUCACAUUUUUUUUUUUGCAGCCCACAUAAACUUAAACCUGGUUUAUCUGGCUCAAGUUGGCAUUCGAGUUUGACAUGCUUGGUGUACAGGAAUCUAUAAUCACCCCCUGCCUAUACCCACUGUCCUGAAACUAAUGGACCAUGGUAUAUUAGGUAUAUUAAGAUGGCCAGCAAAUAUAUAUAUAUUUUUUGUGUGUCC